UGAGCGAGUCAAUUUGGGUGGAAUUCCGACACAUCCACGGAAGUUGAAUAAAUCGUUCAUUCUUUUUCGAGUCGUCCUAGAAGCACGUUCAUGGGUGCUUUUGAAAAUGGACGGUCCGGAAUAAUAUAAAAGCGCCUCUUCAGUCGCGAUAAUGGAAACCAUCUUAAACAAUUUAAGCAACACGCUCUCGAUAGUCCGGCAGAUCAAAAUUAUUAAAGGAGGUAGAUAGAACUAUUUUCACUAGAAUAUGAACAAUUUUACAUUCGGUGUUACCACACAGUUUGCGAGAAGUUGAUAUUAUUUACACACAUUUCGAGAAGAGUCCAGCGAAAAAUUCGAAGAACCAAAGAAAAAAUAACGGGAACUGUAUACAUCAAUUCCUGGCAAUUUGCUGAGACAAUGACUACACAGAUUGGCUUCCCAAAUCAUGUUGCAUAAACUAGAAAUCUGUAACACUUCUGAUCCUAAUGAUGCAUACGUCGAUAUAUUCUUAAGGAUACUUAGUAAAAUGUUUGAAUCAGUAGAAAAGAUGACUGAUCCGGUAACUGUCCAAAUGAAUCAUUUUACGACAUUACAAAUAGCGAACUACCACCAUUUCAAGAUUUAUGUCUAUCGGAAAAUAAAUUAAAAAUAUUUGUUGCUUCGUAAGUGUCCCGUGGGGUGUUCAACGGAAUGUAUUCUUGCUAAAACAGCGGUUUAUUAAACUUCUCGUACAUCUAUUUCGUUCAAAUGAAUCUAAAAUUACCGAAAGUGUUAAGUUUGAAGUAUUCACCUGUGGAAAGAGAGGGCAAUCAUCAGAUUCAUUCAAAGGACUGGCUGUAUAAAAGCAAUUCGCUGAAUUAUGAAUUGAAAUUGAUAAAUGGAGAUAAAAAAAUUAAAAUAGGGUUUAUCUUAUCGAGAGUAUGUUGUUUCAAAUGAUGUAAAUGAUAUAGUCCAUUAUCGUGCCUGGGGGGGUGCUUAUAUAUAGUUCCAUUUUCUGGAGUUCCCAAGAACCUGCAUGGAUGACUACGAAACUUAGAAUCAACAGCUUGUAUUCCUCUUUAAAGAAUACAAUAAAUUCAAUGAUCAAAUAAAA